CUGUGCCUACCUUGAUGUGUUGUGACAGUUCGCUUGUGAUUUUUCUACUUGAAACGCGUUUUUUUUUUUCGCUGCGAUCAUGUUUCCGUCGCAAUUUUAUCGGAAUCGGUCAUAAAAAUCAAAUAGAUUGUUUGCAGGGCCAUACAGUGCAAGUAGCCACCCGAUAAGUUCGAGGAUUCGUUGUGGCGUCCAAGGCCAAGCAGUCCCCCGGCUAGUUGGAGGAAUCGAGGCAGUGUGCAAGAUCAAGUUACGUCGAGCUGUUUCCAUGAUGAGGACAAUCCGUGGCCAUGAACACGGGAAGUGGAUUCCGGUGACAACGGAAAGUGCACGAUGGAGGGAUCCGCACCCGGCUGGAGGCUGACAAGGCAGCUUCCGCUGGCACCGUGCCAGCCGAAGAAAAGAUGUGCACAGGUUUUUAUGUUGAAAUAUUGUGAAUAAAGCUAUUUUCUGCGAACA